GGGGCUGACUUUAAGCUCGACAGAUGGACAUUGACAGUUUGGAAGUGCAAGCCGGGUUUCCCUACACGUUAGCUGGGGUACUUAGAAUAACUGGCAACAGUAAAUCUAAAGUAGCUUCUGUUAUUGACCGCAUUCUUGCUGGUCGUGCAGUUGCUCAACCAAUUGCAGCCUAAUAUAGGUCUGCGACCACUUAUAUUGCGCCCAGCAAAAUAAGACCGGUUUAUAUUUCUGGGUUGCUCGUGUGUCGUAAGGCCACACACGCUAAGAUUUUCUUUGAGCGUUGACAUACAUAUUUGUUUAUCUUGUUGUAUGUACGCAAAGAAACAAACCAUAGAUAAACUAAGCUUGUAGGACUCCACGCUCUCACCAACUGGACGCGGGGGCAGUGCCCGCCAGCUCCACCA
rnacentral:tmRNA from 1 species